GAGACGUGCAGUUGCUAGUGGAUGGACACGCCAUAAAUGCUAUCAGUGAAUACAUCGAUCAGACACAUGAAGACGACUGGCUGGAUCGACAGUUUCUGGACCUGGAUGAAGAGCUCCAUCUUCAGCCUGCUGGCCAUCGCCAUCGACAGAUAUCUGGCGGUGAAGAUCCCGCUGAGGUCAGUCCGCGCCUCGUCACCGCCUGGGGUUUUAUUUUAUCCUGACAAACACGCAGACAGGGAAAGCUCAUAACUCGGACUGAACUCCUGAACUCCCAGAGGUGGUAUUAUGGCUCUCUGCCCUGGGCGUCAUCGCACGAGGGGGGCAACAUAACAGCUCGGAAGAAAAUUUAAAAAAGCUCUCUCUUCAUUUCUUCCUGAUAUUUGACAGAGUGUUAUUGGAGAUUGUAAUAAAACAUGGCAUAACAAUGA